ensembl:lncRNA
AUGCAAAAGUUCACAAGGCCCAUUCAUCUCUCUGGGGUUUUUGAGGGGCACUUGGAGGCCAAAGGCAGCAAUCCACUUCCUCCACACCAGCACGGUGGAGGAACUGGGUCUUCUGACAGGAGGUUUCUUGGCAGGACCCAGUGUCACAGCAGGAGAGCACCAGCUGGAACUGCGCUUGGGCUGGGUGCAAUGCUGGAGUCACCAGGAUUCACUGGAGUUCAGGAAAAGAAGAGCUGGGAACAAUGUUUUCUUCUAUGACCAGAAGUGGAGUUUCAUCUCACUUGGCUUUCUCUUCCUUGGUAUUUGUGAUGCAGUUCCAGUACUAUCUGUGGUAAAGCAGGAAGGUAAGAGAUAAGGGGAAUGCAUCUGUUACCAAGUCUUGUCCAAAUUACAGAUUCAGACUUUGCAGAAAUGUAGACACAGGAAAAUGUGAAAUAAACCCUAGAACUUUCCACCUCCUUUUUUCAAAGUUAGGCACAAACCUAUUUUGUUCUGCUCCUCCUAACGCUUUUGUCUAUUCUAAUAAAAUGAUGCUACUAGGAAAGACCACAGAAGUUUUAUAUGCCACUGUGAAUGUGCCAGAACUCUCCAAAAACUGGGAGAGUGGACCAGGCACCUUAGGGGCAUUUAAGCCCCCAGCUGAGAUGACACAGGCUGUGUGUAAUCCCCUAGCACCAAUUAAAAGAAAAUGCUGAGAACCUCUCUAAAGUCAGGUUGUUCUUUGCAUCAGACUCAGCCUCAGGGAAGGCUCUCAUGUCACAGAGUCUCCUGUCUAGCCCUCUUCUGUAGGUUGCUACCCACAACUCCUUUUUCAAAGAUCCUCUCGGGGAUUUUUUUUCCCUAAGAAACAAAAAAUCUCCCUCACCUGAAGAUAUGUAAGAAUUCAGAAUGUACAUACAGGUUUCCAAAUUACCUUACAGGACAUUCAUCUCAUCUCUCAUUAUUCAGACCACACUGUGGCCUUCUGGCUGCUGGAACUGAGACUUGCCAGAGAAAGCACGGGAUGUGGUUUGGACUACAGCCCCACACUUCCUUCUCCUACUGGGAGCCACUGAGUCUAACUUCUUUUGCUUUGGAAAUGGGAAUUGAUACUGAGAUUCACAGAAGUCACUUUAGCCCUCCAGAAGUACUUCCUUUCAGAAUUUGUAACUCUUGCUAUUGUUUUCAAAAUUUCAGCAAACAUAUGUGCACACAUCUGGCCUACUUUUAUAUCAGUACUAUUAAAAAUAAAAUACCGAACUGUGAGAAAGAAUUACACUAGAUAAGAAAUACAAAAGAUUUUUUCCCAUUCAGGUGGCCUUAUAUUUUAUCUAUGUAUCUAUUUAAUUACUUCCAUUCCAAUUUUGUGAUGAGUAAUGGAGGAAAAUCCUUAGAUGCUGUAUUACUGAUUCUGCAAGUCACAGUUGUGUGGCCUCUUCCUAUGAACAGUUUUUCUAACCUUACCUAAUGGAUCUACAAUUUUUUCCCCAAUUAUUUCUAUGAUUAGAUUUUACUUGUUGUGAUGACCUUGAAGGGCAGGAAUUAAGCAUAAACAAACAGGAUAAUGAUGGGGCCAAACGACAGUAACUUUAGGAAGCCUAAAAAAAGAUAUUUCUCAUUUAAGAGAGGUGAAAUGAAGAAUGAUUAACUUGCUAAAUGGCAAGUUUUCAGCUACCUACUCAUCUGCUUUUUCUUGUUACCUCUUCCCAAAUGGCUGGGAGAUUAAAUUACUUUGUUUCCUCUUCAGAAGAAAAAAAUGUUAAUGAAAAAUAUUCUUACUUAGAUGGACUGUGCUA